rnacentral:rRNA from 1 species
UACGGGGGGAGCAAGCGUUGUUCGGAAUCACUGGGCUUAAAGCGUGUGUAGGCGGAUCGGUAAGUAUCUUGUGAAAUCCCACAGCUUAACUGUGGAACUGCUUGGUAUACUGCCAGUCUUGAGCCACGUAGGGGCUACCGGAACAAAUGGUGGAGCGGUGAAAUGCGUAGAUAUCAUUUGGAACGCCAAUGGUGAAAACAGGUAGCUGGGAGUGUGCUGACGCUGAGACACGAAAGCCAGGGGAGCAAACGGG